rnacentral:tRNA from 1 species
GGCUUCUUGGUCAAGUGGUAAGGACACUUGCCUCACCCUGGAGUCCGGGUUCGAUCCCCGGUCGAGGAGCUA